CCUACGGGUGACAGCAGUGGGGAAUAUUGGGCAAUGGGCGCAAGCCUGACCCAGCAACGCCGCGUGAAGGCAGAAGGCUUUCGGGUUGUAAACUUCUUUUAAGAGGGAAGAGCAGAAGACGGUCCCUCUUGAAUAAGCCACGGCUCACUACGUGCCAACAGCCGCGUUAAUACGGAGGUGGCCGGCUUUGUCCGGCUUUACUGGGUUUAAAGGCGUUGAGGCCGGGAGUACAAGUCAGAGUUGAAUUCCGCGGGCCAAACCGCCGAACGGCAUUUGAAACUGUUUUUCUUGAGUACGGGAGAGGUCAUCGGAAUGCCUUGGGGAGCGGUGAAAUGCGUAGAUAUAAGGCAGAACACCAGUGGCGAAGGCGGAUGACUGGACGGCAACUGACGGUGAGGCGCGAAAGCGUGGGGAGCAAACAGGAUUAGAUACCCGUGUAGUC
rnacentral:rRNA from 1 species